rnacentral:rRNA from 1 species
GGUUGACCUCGGAUCAGGUAGGACUACCCGCUGAACUUAAGCAUAUCAAUAAGCGGAGGAAAAGAAACCAACAGGGAUUGCCCCAGUAACGGCGAGUGAAGCGGCAACAGCUCAAAUUUGAAAUCUGGCCCCCGGGUCCGAGUUGUAAUUUGCAGAGGAUGCUUUUGGUGCGGCGCCUUCCAAGUCCCCUGGAACGGGACGCCAUAGAGGGUGAGAGCCCCGUCUGGUCGGACGCCAAACCUCUGUAAAGCUCCUUCGACGAGUCGAGUAGUUUGGGAAUGCUGCUCUAAAUGGGAGGUAUAUGUCUUCUAAAGCUAAAUACCGGCCAGAGACCGAUAGCGCACAAGUAGAGUGAUCGAAAGAUGAAAAGCACUUUGAAAAGAGAGUUAAAAAGUACGUGAAAUUGUUGAAAGGGAAGCGCUUGUGACCAGACUUGGGCUCGGCCGAUCACCCGGGGUUCUCCCCCGGUGCACUCGUCCGGCCCAGGCCAGCAUCAGUUGGCGGCGGGGGACAAAGGCGGCGGGAAUGUGGCUCCCCCCGGGGAGUGUUAUAGCCCGCCGCGCAAUACCCCGCGGCCGACUGAGGUUCGCGCUCCGCAAGGAUGCUGGCGUAAUGGUCACCAGUGACCCGUCUU